rnacentral:rRNA from 1 species
UACGUAGGUGGCAAGCGUUGUCCGGAUUUAUUGGGUUUAAAGGGUGCGUAGGCUGUCCCUUAAGUCAGUGGUGAAAUACAGCCGCUUAACGGUUGAGGUGCCAUUGAUACUGGGGGACUUGAGUACAGACGAGGUAGGCGGAAUUGACGGUGUAGCGGUGAAAUGCAUAGAUAUCGUCAAGAACACCGAUAGCGAAGGCAGCUUACUAGACUGUAACUGACGCUGAUGCACGAAAGUGUGGGGAUCAAACAGG